UAUGGUGAAGGUAAUAGUCCAUAGAGCUUCAAAAAAUUGAAUCGUGCUUAAACUUUUAAGCUCUGUGUACUUUUUACAGGAUCGAAA